AUGUGUAAAACAAAAAACAUCUAUCCCCUUUAUUCUAAGUUUCAUUUUGUUCAACAGAACAUCACAGUUGUGGUCUUUCAUGAAAUCUAAACCCAAAAUACAUUCGUUUUGGAUAUUAGCCACUAAAACGUUAUGAUUCACAGUAACAUCUCCCACACAUAUUUUCACUAGGCAUUCCCCUAGGACAGCUAUUUUCUCCCCACUAACAGAGGUUAGAUUUACAAAUGAAGGGUUCAAAUCUAAUUUCCCCUUUAACUCUGAACUGUCUGCAAAAUCGGAGCUAAUAAUUGUUACACUAGCUCCUGUGUCGACCAUCAUUGUAGUUCGAAUGUUCUCAAUUUUGCCUACUACAAAAAUUCCUUCACCACACCCCUUUACAUCACCUACUCUCUCAUUUCUAGGUGCAUUUUCACAUUUAACAAUUUUCUCAACAUCAUUUUCUGAUUUAUUGUUCUCAGUAUCAUUUUUUGGUUUAUUGUUCAUCAUAUUUUCAUUCUCAGUUACAUUAACUGUAUUUUGAGGACUCUUUUUAAUAUGCUCAUUUCUUCCAGCAGGAAGAGGUCCUCUUGUUUCAACUUUGUUUAACAGUGAUUGGGGCCUACCCCUGCGCUUUGUCGACUUCCGCCCCCUGAAUUCGACACGGGAAAGUUUCCCUGAUUUGAGGAUUGGAAGCGACUAUUUUGAUAUUGUCUAUUUUGCCUUGUCAGAGCCUGAUUUCUGUAUAGGAGAUGAGGUACCGGACCGUUGAUACUCAUCACAAGUGAUGUCAUCAUUCAGAUCGCAGGACCUGCACCCAUUCUCCUCAGAAGCUUCAUAUUGGCUGUUUUUAUUUGACAUUUUGACUUUUGUUUUUGCAACACAAAUUUUAUGUGUUAUAAUGUGCUUGUCGUUGUCAAUAGACUUAACAAGACUUAGGUGUCAAUUUUGUAAGAUCCUGAUGUAGACUUUCGAUCAACCAGAAUAAAAGGAAGACUUUAUCCCACUUCUGACACCAAUUGUUACGACUUACGGCUUUAUAUGUUUAGCGGCGUAACAUUGUGGGGCUCCUUAAUCUGAAUGUUGAACGAAAGACAACAGGAUAUAAUUUGUUUUUAAUAUUUUAUUAGAUUUUAUUCAAUAAACAUACAAAAAUACUCUUCUUUGGCUCUGCGGUCCUCACCUGAAAUAAAAACAAACCAACCACCCUUUCCAACAAAUGUUAAUUUAUAAAACCACCCUUAAACAAACCCCUUAAUAAACAUGAAUAGACCUUGUAUCUUUAGGUCUUGAAUAAAGAUUGAACUAGUGAUUUCUUCACUUAGUGAGUAUAAAUACAAAAUGUCAGGAUGUAGCAAACAACUAAUUGUAUAGGGACAAAAAGUUAUGCAAACAUCUCAACAAAACUCAAUACAAUGCACCAUGCAUUUGUUAGUUUGUUGUUAGUAAUAAUGUCAGGAGUUAUAAAUAUCAAGUUCAGGUCACUUCUUGUGCCUUAGUAAAUACUACUCAACAGUAAACAAUAACGAUGAAUUCAGAUCACUACUUGUGUCUGAGUAAAAUGAAUGAAUAACGCAAUCAAACGUUGCUAACAAAUUCAGGUUAAUAAUUACCCAUCAU